rnacentral:tRNA from 1 species
CGGGUUGUGGCGCAGCUUGGUAGCGCGCCUCGUUCGGGACGAGGAGGUCGUCGGUUCAAAUCCGGCCAGCCCGA